rnacentral:rRNA from 1 species
UACCAGCACCCCGAGUGGUCGGGACGAUUAUUGGGCCUAAAGCAUCCGUAGCCGGUCAUGCAAGUCCUCCGUUAAAUCCAGCCGCUCAACGGUUGGGCUGCGGAGGAUACUACGUGGCUAGGAGGCGGGAGAGGCAAGCGGUACUCAGUGGGUAGGGGUAAAAUCCUUUGAUCCAUUGAAGACCACCAGUGGCGAAGGCGGCUUGCCAGAACGCGCUCGACGCUGAGGUGCGAAAGCGUGGGGAGCAAACAGG